rnacentral:lncRNA from 1 species
AAAAGACUGCAAGAGUGAAGGAUGUCUUUUGCCAUAUUUUUACAAAUGGAUUACACUUGCUUUACAAAGUACUAGAAAGAUCCCUGUAAAAAUAGUACUACAAGAUUUGUAACACAAGAUCGCACAGAAGUUGUACUGAUCUACACAGGAAGUUUUGCUACUUGUAAGAAAAUAAAAAUGAACUCUAACUUGGAGAAUCAACAUAUGUUUCUUUCCGUUGAUUACAUUCAGUUCAUGUAUGUACAGAAGAAACAAAAUUGCAACUCCACCAUUGAAUAGUCCAUGGCUGAAUAGCCGAACUUCACAGAAUGCCAUUUUUUAAACUUAGCCGAGGAAUCAUUUUCUCAAAUUCACGUUUGAACUCCAUUUGGAAAAUUUCAAGCUCCUCUCUGGGAGGUGUUGGCUGAUUUCCUCAGGGUGAUGAGCUUCCGAAGAUAGUGUGCAAUCACUCGAUGACAAAUGCGAUGAAUAGUGUGUAUCCUGCAAGGAGCAAUAAGCUGUUAGAAAUGUUUAGCUUUGAACUUGAAUAAAAUAUAGGAUUGCACUAGCUUUGACAUUCUGACAAUAGUGAGGGCUCAAAUGCCAAGUAAUGUUCAGUAACUGAAAAGGCAUCAUUUUUCUGACAUUCGGUUCUGAAACUAUGUGGACCUAAGUAAUUAUUGGCAGUCAAGAAAUGUACAAGUUGCAUAUAUUUCUGCCUAGUAAAUUAUGCUACCAAGCCUACCAAGUCAGAAUAAUUUUCUUAAGAAUAAUUUGGUCAGGAUCCAAACUUUUUCAGUGAACAUGCAGCACAAAUUGCAUGUUGCUCCCAUCUCUGUUCUCCAAAACAAUCAGAGGUACGGAUGAAAAAGGAAACAUGUAACAAAUAAUUUUCAUUUCCAUAAACAAAAACAAUCAGGCAAAGACAUCAAAAUUAGCAUACACACCAAAAUUAGUGCAGUUUCAACAUGUACACUAAAACAUGCAGGUUUUAGACUUAGAAGUGCCAUUGGAGGUUUCAGGAGAUUCAUCUAGAGUAGCACAUGUACUUCUUCAACUAGAAAAAUUAUUUAUAUAGGAAAAGAAACUUAUUCAAACAAACUGGAUGAGCUAGGAACAUAAUACUUGUCUUUCAGGCAUAAAUACAAACACUCAUGGGCAGAAAUGCUAUUAACUUUUUCGCUCCCCUGCAUUAAUAUUUGUACACAAAGACUUAUAGUCCUGUCAGGAGCAUUUGUACUCUUUGAAUCUUUUUUUGUUCUCUGUAUUUUCAUGUGGUUUCUUAUAUGAACCUUUUCAAAAUAUGAAUUCCUCGUGAUGAUAUCUGCGAACCUUCUUAGACGAUGAUGUUGAACUUGCGCUCGAUUGCAUAUGUACUUGAAGGAUUUUUUACUAAACACCACAAUCAUCUACUUGUGUUCAUCAUUUACUGCUAUGACUAGUUGGAAAGACAACAGACCAAUCGAGUGGCAUGAGUUACGGUGGCCCAUUACACAUAAAAUUGAACUUCUUUUUCUACCAAGAGGGUUGGGGCUAGCAGUUGUCUUUGUUUUGAAUUUAUCUGGUAGCAGUAUAUUAUUUCAGUCAGCUCAAUCUUCAUCAGUACUAGAAUGACUAGACAAGAAGUUUAGAUUUGUAGCAGCACACGCACCAAAAUUACAUAAUUUUUCUUCAACUUUUUUAGGUGAUUGCAUUAGUACUAGUAUGAUUGGAAAAAUAUUUCAGAUUUGUAGCAACACACACAUGAAAACUUAUAGAACUUUAUGGGAAUGGAUGAGUUCUGAUUUUUUUUGAACUCCUCCAAUGGUUGCACAUGAACUGAGCAAUAUAGCGACUAACUGUACAUCAUUUUGAUCUGAAAAGCUACUUGACUGAAAAUUCACAUACACAUCCAAAAGUUCAAAACUACAAGACCUGCCCUAUGUUUUUCUGCUACUACAUUAUCAAAAAAAUUAUUCAAAAUGUCUCUACUUUAAGCCUCAAUCUUCCUUCAACUGUAAUUUUCAUUUUGCCCAACAUACCUCCAAUAAUUUUCAUUUCCGUAAACAAAAACAAUCAGGCAAACACAAGUAGCAUACCUGGAGUUCCCACCGCGGCCAGAAGCAGAGAUCCAUUUGCUGUGCUCUCGACAAGAAGUCCCCUAUUUUGAUAAGAAAAAAAGAGAUCAAGGCUUCGGUAUGGAUAAAUAAAUUGGUAGCAAUGUACAGUCAACAUCUUUUUGUUUUCAAUUUUUUUCCUGAACUUAUUAAGUUUCUAUGUAUGAACGUACAAACUUUCUAAGCAUGAACUUUUUGCUAGCGUUUGGUUUUUGGUAUUACAAACUAUUUUUUGCAUUACAACAAACACCUUUAAAAGAUAGCACAAUGGCACAUGGAUUCAAAAUGAACUCAAAAAGAACAAUUCAGUAGUAACAUUCCUGGAGACAUUGCAAGUUCUGAGGCGGUAGUGCGCGGUAUCAUAGGGAUAUCUUAUUCAUUGCAGAGUGACAAACAUUAUAUCGCUUUUGUACAAAGUUACUGCAAAAGACAUUAGCGGGCCAGAGAAUGAUCAUACCUGCAAGAUGAAGCUGAAAAUGCACAUUUAAGGUGAACUAAAAAACCACCAGAUGUUGAACUGAAUGUACACAAGAGAAGGAGCAUGNNN